UACGGGGGGAGCAAGCGUUGUUCGGAUUUACUGGGCGUAAAGGGCGUGUAGGCGGUCCGCUAAGUCUGAUGUGAAAGCCCGGGGCUCACCCCCGGAAGGGCAUUGGAAACUGGCGGACUCGAGUCCCGGAGAGGAAGGUGGAAUUCCUGGUGUAGCGGUGAAAUGCGUAGAUAUCAGGAGGAAUACCGGUGGCGAAGGCGGCCUUCUGGACGGUGACUGACGCUGAGACGCGAAAGCGUGGGGAGCAAACAGG
rnacentral:rRNA from 1 species